rnacentral:rRNA from 1 species
AUUGAACGCUGGCGGCAGGCCUAACACAUGCAAGUCGAGCGGCAGCACGGAGCUUGCUCCUGGAUUCAGCGGCGGACGGGUGAGUAAUGCCUAGGAACCUGCCUAGUAGUGGGGGAUAACGUGCGGAAACGGGCGCUAAUACCGCAUACGUCCUGAGGGAGAAAGUGGGGGAGCUUCGGACCUCCCGCUCUUGGAUGAGCCGAGGUCGGAUUAGCUAGUUGGUGGGGUAAAGGCCUACCAAGGCGACGAUCCGUAGCUGGUCUGAGAGGAUGAUCAGUCACACUGGAACUGAGACACGGUCCAGACUCCUACGGGAGGCAGCAGUGGGGAAUAUUGGACAAUGGGCGAAAGCCUGAUCCAGCCAUGCCGCGUGUGUGAAGAAGGUCUUCGGAUUGUAAAGCACUUUUGGUUGGGAAGAAGGGCAGUAAGUUAAUACCUUGCUGUUUUGACGUUACCAACAGAAUAAGCACCGGCUAACUUCGUG